UACGUAGGGUGCAAGCGUUGUCCGGAAUUAUUGGGCGUAAAGAGCUCGUAGGCGGUCUGUCGCGUCUGCUGUGAAAACCUAGGGCUUAACUCUGGGCGUGCAGUGGGUACGGGCAGGCUAGAGUUCGGUAGGGGAGACUGGAAUUCCUGGUGUAGCGGUGAAAUGCGCAGAUAUCAGGAGGAACACCGGUGGCGAAGGCGGGUCUCUGGGCCGAUACUGACGCUGAGGAGCGAAAGCGUGGGGAGCGAACAGG
rnacentral:rRNA from 1 species